rnacentral:rRNA from 1 species
ACAGCCUUCGGGGCUCUUGGUGAUCAUAAUAACUUAACGAAUCGCAUGGCCUUGCGCCGGCGAUGGUUCAUUCAAAUUUCUGCCCUAUCAACUUUCGAUGGUAGGAUAGUGGCCUACCAUGGUGGCAACGGGUAACGGGGAAUUAGGGUUCGAUUCCGGAGAGGGAGCCUGAGAAACGGCUACCACAUCCAAGGAAGGCAGCAGGCGCGCAAAUUACCCAAUCCCGAUACGGGGAGGUAGUGACAAUAAAUACUGAUACGGGGCUCUUUUGGGUCUCGUAAUUGGAAUGAGAACAAUUUAAAUCCCUUAACGAGGAACAAUUGGAGGGCAAGUCUGGUGCCAGCAGCCGCGGUAAUUCCAGCUCCAAUAGCGUAUAUUAAAGUUGUUGCAGUUAAAAAGCUCGUAGUUGAACCUUGGGUCUGGCUGGCCGGUCCGCCUCACCGCGAGUACUGGUCCGGCUGGACCUUUCCUUCUGGGGAACCUCAUGGCCUUCACUGGCUGUGGGGGGAACCAGGACUUUUACUGUGAAAAAAUUAGAGUGUUCAAAAGCAGGCCUUUGCUCGAAUACAUUAGCAUGGAAUAAUAAAAUAGGGACGUGCGGUUCUAUAUGGGGGGGUCUAGAGUCGGCCGUAAUGGUUAAUAGGGAUAGUUGGGGGCAUUGGGUAUUGGAGUCCGGUUAGAGGGUGGAAUUCUUGGGAUUGACUCAAGGACAAUAUUGGAAGCAUUUGCCAAGGAUGUUUCAUUAAUCA